rnacentral:rRNA from 1 species
UACACACCGCCCGUCACACCACGAAAGCUGUUUAUACCAGAAAGUCGGUGAAGCUAACCGCAAGGAGGCAACCGCCCAAGGUAUGGAGUGGUGAUUGGGGUGG